UACGUAGGGUGCGAGCGUUUAUCCGGAAUUAUUGGGCGUAAAGAGCUCGUAGGCGGUUUGUCGCGUCUGUCGUGAAAGUCCGGGCUUAACCCCGGAUCUGCGGUGGGUACGGGCAGACUAGAGUGCAGUAGGGGAGACUGGAAUUCCUGGUGUAGCGGUGGAAUGCGCAGAUAUCAGGAGGAACACCGAUGGCGAAGGCAGGUCUCUGGGCUGUAACUGACGCUGAGGAGCGAAAGCAUGGGGAGCGAACAGG
rnacentral:rRNA from 1 species